rnacentral:rRNA from 1 species
GAUGAACGCUGGCGGCGUGCCUAAUACAUGCAAGUCGAGCGAACAGUCGAGGAUCUUGCUUCUCUGACGUUAGCGGCGGACGGGUGAGUAACACGUGGAUAACCUACCUAUAAGACUGGGAUAACUUCGGGAAACCGGAGCUAAUACCGGAUAAUAUAUUGAACCGCAUGGUUCAAUAGUGAAAGACGGUUUUGCUGUCACUUAUAGAUGGAUCCGCGCCGCAUUAGCUAGUUGGUAAGGUAACGGCUUACCAAGGCAACGAUGCGUAGCCGACCUGAGAGGGUGAUCGGCCACACUGGAACUGAGACACGGUCCAGACUCCUACGGGAGGCAGCAGUAGGGAAUCUUCCGCAAUGGGCGAAAGCCUGACGGAGCAACGCCGCGUGAGUGAUGAAGGUCUUCGGAUCGUAAAACCCUGUUAUUAGGGAAGAACAAAUGUGUAAGUAACUAUGCACGUCUUGACGGUACCUAAUCAGAAAGCCACGGCUAACUACGUG